rnacentral:rRNA from 1 species
GGGUUGUGAGGUUAAGCGACUAAGCGUACACGGUGGAUGCCCUGGCAGUCAGAGGCGAUGAAGGACGUGCUAAUCUGCGAUAAGCGUCGGUAAGGUGAUAUGAACCGUUAUAACCGGCGAUUUCCGAAUGGGGAAACCCAGUGUGUUUCGACACACUAUCAUUAACUGAAUCCAUAGGUUAAUGAGGCGAACCGGGGGAACUGAAACAUCUAAGUACCCCGAGGAAAAGAAAUCAACCGAGAUUCCCCCAGUAGCGGCGAGCGAACGGGGAGCAGCCCAGAGCCUGAAUCAGUGUGUGUGUUAGUGGAAGCGUCUGGAAAGGCGCGCGAUACAGGGUGACAGCCCCGUACACAAAAAUGCACAUGCUGUGAGCUCGAUGAGUAGGGCGGGACACGUGGUAUCCUGUCUGAAUAUGGGGGGACCAUCCUCCAAGGCUAAAUACUCCUGACUGACCGAUAGUGAACCAGUACCGUGAGGGAAAGGCGAAAAGAACCCCGGCGAGGGGAGUGAAAAAGAACCUGAAACCGUGUACGUACAAGCAGUGGGAGCACGCUUAGGCGUGUGACUGCGUACCUUUUGUAUAAUGGGUCAGCGACUUAUAUUCUGUAGCAAGGUUAACCGAAUAGGGGAGCCGAAGGGAAACCGAGUCUUAACUGGGCGUUAAGUUGCAGGGUAUAGACCCGAAACCCGGUGAUCUAGCCAUGGGCAGGUUGAAGGUUGGGUAACACUAACUGGAGGACCGAACCGACUAAUGUUGAAAAAUUAGCGGAUGACUUGUGGCUGGGGGUGAAAGGCCAAUCAAACCGGGAGAUAGCUGGUUCUCCCCGAAAGCUAUUUAGGUAGCGCCUCGUGAAUUCAUCUCCGGGGGUAGAGCACUGUUUCGGCAAGGGGGUCAUCCCGACUUACCAACCCGAUGCAAACUGCGAAUACCGGAGAAUGUUAUCACGGGAGACACACGGCGGGUGCUAACGUCCGUCGUGAAGAGGGAAACAACCCAGACCGCCAGCUAAGGUCCCAAAGUCAUGGUUAAGUGGGAAACGAUGUGGGAAGGCCCAGACAGCCAGGAUGUUGGCUUAGAAGCAGCCAUCAUUUAAAGAAAGCGUAAUAGCUCACUGGUCGAGUCGGCCUGCGCGGAAGAUGUAACGGGGCUAAACCAUGCACCGAAGCUGCGGCAGCGACGCUGAUGCGUUGUUGGGUAGGGGAGCGUUCUGUAAGCCUGUGAAGGUGUACUGUGAGGUAUGCUGGAGGUAUCAGAAGUGCGAAUGCUGACAUAAGUAACGAUAAAGCGGGUGAAAAGCCCGCUCGCCGGAAGACCAAGGGUUCCUGUCCAACGUUAAUCGGGGCAGGGUGAGUCGACCCCUAAGGCGAGGCCGAAAGGCGUAGUCGAUGGGAAACAGGUUAAUAUUCCUGUACUUGGUGUUACUGCGAAGGGGGGACGGAGAAGGCUAUGUUGGCCGGGCGACGGUUGUCCCGGUUUAAGCGUGUAGGCUGGUUUUCCAGGCAAAUCCGGAAAAUCAAGGCUGAGGCGUGAUGACGAGGCACUACGGUGCUGAAGCAACAAAUGCCCUGCUUCCAGGAAAAGCCUCUAAGCAUCAGGUAACAUCAAAUCGUACCCCAAACCGACACAGGUGGUCAGGUAGAGAAUACCAAGGCGCUUGAGAGAACUCGGGUGAAGGAACUAGGCAAAAUGGUGCCGUAACUUCGGGAGAAGGCACGCUGAUAUGUAGGUGAAGCGACUUGCUCGUGGAGCUGAAAUCAGUCGAAGAUACCAGCUGGCUGCAACUGUUUAUUAAAAACACAGCACUGUGCAAACACGAAAGUGGACGUAUACGGUGUGACGCCUGCCCGGUGCCGGAAGGUUAAUUGAUGGGGUUAGCGCAAGCGAAGCUCUUGAUCGAAGCCCCGGUAAACGGCGGCCGUAACUAUAACGGUCCUAAGGUAGCGAAAUUCCUUGUCGGGUAAGUUCCGACCUGCACGAAUGGCGUAAUGAUGGCCAGGCUGUCUCCACCCGAGACUCAGUGAAAUUGAACUCGCUGUGAAGAUGCAGUGUACCCGCGGCAAGACGGAAAGACCCCGUGAACCUUUACUAUAGCUUGACACUGAACAUUGAGCCUUGAUGUGUAGGAUAGGUGGGAGGCUUUGAAGUGUGGACGCCAGUCUGCAUGGAGCCGACCUUGAAAUACCACCCUUUAAUGUUUGAUGUUCUAACGUUGACCCGUAAUCCGGGUUGCGGACAGUGUCUGGUGGGUAGUUUGACUGGGGCGGUCUCCUCCUAAAGAGUAACGGAGGAGCACGAAGGUUGGCUAAUCCUGGUCGGACAUCAGGAGGUUAGUGCAAUGGCAUAAGCCAGCUUGACUGCGAGCGUGACGGCGCGAGCAGGUGCGAAAGCAGGUCAUAGUGAUCCGGUGGUUCUGAAUGGAAGGGCCAUCGCUCAACGGAUAAAAGGUACUCCGGGGAUAACAGGCUGAUACCGCCCAAGAGUUCAUAUCGACGGCGGUGUUUGGCACCUCGAUGUCGGCUCAUCACAUCCUGGGGCUGAAGUAGGUCCCAAGGGUAUGGCUGUUCGCCAUUUAAAGUGGUACGCGAGCUGGGUUUAGAACGUCGUGAGACAGUUCGGUCCCUAUCUGCCGUGGGCGCUGGAGAACUGAGGGGGGCUGCUCCUAGUACGAGAGGACCGGAGUGGACGCAUCACUGGUGUUCGGGUUGUCAUGCCAAUGGCACUGCCCGGUAGCUAAAUGCGGAAGAGAUAAGUGCUGAAAGCAUCUAAGCACGAAACUUGCCCCGAGAUGAGUUCUCCCUGACUCCUUGAGAGUCCUGAAGGAACGUUGAAGACGACGACGUUGAUAGGCCGGGUGUGUAAGCGCAGCGAUGCGUUGAGCUAACCGGUACUAAUGAACCGUGAGGCUUAACCUUACAACGCCGAAGGUGUUU